UAAUAAUUGCAAACAUCCCAUAACCCCAUCUCCAGUUAGAAUCUAUAAUACCCUGAACAAUAAAUCCCGUGAACCAAACAGUAGCUAUGUAUGGAGUACUGAGCAAGGCUGUCAUAAAUCCUCGCCAUUUGAGGGACGUUAAGUCGCCAACGACAAGGGUAUUUAAAUAAUCUAACCCUGAGCUGCCGAUUGAAAUGAAAACCGAACCUAUAACAUAAGCAGAUAUAGUUGAACUUGAGGCUACAACAAUGAAUCCAAUGACAU